GGAUGGNGUCNGCCNNCANAAANNCNNGGNNNUAAGGGGGAUAACUACUGGAAACGGUAGCUAAUACCGCAUAACGUCGCAAGACCAAAGAGGGGGACCUUCGGGCCUCUUGCCAUCAGAUGUGCCCAGAUGGGAUUAGCUAGUAGGCGGGGUAACGGCCCACCUAGGCGACGAUCCCUAGCUGGUCUGAGAGGAUGACCAGCCACACUGGAACUGAGACACGGUCCAGACUCCUACGGGAGGCAGCAGUGGGGAAUAUUGCACAAUGGGCGCAAGCCUGAUGCAGCCAUGCCGCGUGUGUGAAGAAGGCCUUCGGGUUGUAAAGCACUUUCAGCGGGGAGGAAGGCGGUACGGUUAAUAACCGUGCCGAUUGACGUUACCCGCAGAAGAAGCACCGGCUAACUCCGUGCC
rnacentral:rRNA from 1 species